rnacentral:rRNA from 1 species
AACGAACGCUGGCGGCAGGCCUAACACAUGCAAGUCGAGCGGACCUUUCGGGGUCAGCGGCGGACGGGUGAGUAACGCGUGGGAAUAUGCCCUUCUCUACGGAAUAGUCCUGGGAAACUGGGGGUAAUACCGUAUACGCCCUUUGGGGGAAAGAUUUAUCGGGGAAGGAUUAGCCCGCGUUGGAUUAGGUAGUUGGUGGGGUAAUGGCCUACCAAGCCGACGAUCCAUAGCUGGUUUGAGAGGUUGAUCAGCCACACUGGGACUGAGACACGGCCCAGACUCCUACGGGAGGCAGCAGUGGGGAAUCUUAGACAAUGGGGGCAACCCUGAUCUAGCCAUGCCGCGUGAGUGAUGAAGGCCUUAGGGUUGUAAAGCUCUUUCAGCUGGGAAGAUAAUGACGGUACCAGCAGAAGAAGCCCCGGCUAACUCCGUG